AUUGAACGCUGGCGGCAUGCCUUACACAUGCAAGUCGAACGGCAGCACGGGGCAACCUGGUGGCGAGUGGCGAACGGGUGAGUAAUGCAUCGGAACGUACCUUUCAGUGGGGGAUAACGUAGCGAAAGUUACGCCAAUACCGCAUAUUCUGUGAGCAGGAAAGCAGGGGAUCGCAAGACCUUGCGCUGAUUGAGCGGCCGAUGUCAGAUUAGCUAGUUGGGGAGGUAAAGGCUCACCAAGGCGACGAGCUGUAGCGGGUCUGAGAGGAUGAUCCGCCACACUGGAACUGAGACACGGUCCAGACUCCUACGGGAGGCAGCAGUGGGGAAUUUUGGACAAUGGGGGCAACCCUGAUCCAGCCAUGCCGCGUGAGUGAAGAAGGCCUUCGGGUUGUAAAGCUCUUUCGGCCGGGAAGAAAUCGCACGGGCUAAUACCCUGUGUGGAUGACGGUACCGGAAUAAGAAGCACCGGCUAACUACGUGCCAGCCGCCGCAGUAAUAC
rnacentral:rRNA from 1 species